rnacentral:rRNA from 1 species
UACGGAGGGUGCGAGCGUUGUCCGGAAUCACUGGGCGUAAAGGGCGCGUAGGCGGGUGCUCAAGUCCGUGGUGAAAUCCUCCGGCUCAACCGGAGAACUGCCAUGGAUACUGGGUGUCUCGAGGGUGAUAGGGGUAUGCGGAACUAUCGGUGGAGCGGUGAAAUGCGUUGAUAUCGAUAGGAACUCCGGUGGCGAAGGCGGCUACCUGGACCGGUUCUGACGCUGAGGCGCGAAAGCGUGGGGAGCAAACAGGG